UACCAGACUCCUACGGGAGGCAGCAGUGGGGAAUAUUGCACAAUGGGCGAAAGCCUGAUGCAGCAACGCCGCGUGAAGGAAGAAGGGUUUCGGCUCGUAAACUUCUAUCAACAGGGACGAAAGAAAUGACGGUACCUGAAUAAGAAGCCCCGGCUAACUACGUGCCAGCAGCCGCGGUAAUACGUAGGGGGCAAGCGUUAUCCGGAUUCACUGGGUGUAAAGGGAGCGUAGGCGGCCAGGCAAGCCUGGAGUGAAAGCCCGGGGCCCAACCCCGGGACUGCUCUGGGAACUGUCCGGCUGGAGUGCGGGAGGGGCAGGCGGAAUUCCUGGUGUAGCGGUGAAAUGCGUAGAUAUCAGGAGGAACACCGGCGGCGAAGGCGGCCUGCUGGACCGCGACUGACGUUGAGGCUCGAAAGCGUGGGGAGCGAACAGGAUUAGAUACCCCGGUAU
rnacentral:rRNA from 1 species